GUGGGGUUUUGAGUAGACUUUUCUAUUGAAAUUAUUAAUUUUAAGUUUACUCUGUGACGUCACGUUGUUGUUCUAAUCGACGUUCAGAAGAAUCCAUUCAACACGGCGGAUAAUCACAAGCGACUGGAGCAAACUUAUGGAACAACUUGCUGAGCUGGAUGCUGAAUAGAACAGAGUGAGCCUCAACACUUCAGGUAACUUCUAUUGAGCUGAAGAGCAAACCUAACAUAACAGGACACAGACUUGGCUUUCUCUUUUCCAAUGUCGGUUAAACACUUUACGUUUUUGUGGUUUUCUAGGUUUCACCAUAUCAGAGACCUGCAGGAUUUCACAGACAUUCAUGAGAUUCUAAACAUCUGAUCUUCAUGUGAAGGCAAAUCACAAACACUAACUGCCUUUAUCACCGUUUUUUUAUUAUUAUAGUUUUUUUUUUACAUGAUGUCAACAUUAAGGAGCCCUUCAUGCUUUCCCAGUGUACAUGUGUGAGAAUAAAUGUUCUUUAGGACAUGAAAUGUAAGAUGUAACAUGAAAUGUUUUCAAUUUAUGAAUAAAAUAGUGCCUGUGGUAAACAUAA